rnacentral:ribozyme from 1 species
CAACAACCAAAAAAAAAAAAGCGCAAAAAUAUAUAAAAAAUUCACAUGGGUGUGUCCCUCCUCUUUUUUUUUUUUUUAAUUAUUUUU